GACGGAAGGUGCAAGCGUUGCUCGGAAUCACUGGGCGUAAAGGGUGCGUAGGUGGUCGGGUAAGUCUGAUGUGAAAUCUCCGAGCUUAACUCGGAAACUGCAUCGGAUACUAUUCGGCUCGAGGGUUGGAGGGGGGACUGGAAUGCUUGGUGUAGCAGUGAAAUGCGUAGAUAUCAAGCGGAACACCAGUGGCGAAGGCGAGUCCCUGGACAACUCCUGACACUGAGGCACGAAAGCUAGGGGAGCAAACAGG
rnacentral:rRNA from 1 species